UUCAAGUUAACAAAGAGAACAAGGUAUUCAAGGAUUUACCACCAGAAUGUGCAUUUGCUGAUUUUGUCCUCUGCAAUUUGGUGCUGCAUUUGGUUAUUAUGAAUUUCCUUGGUUAAACUAUGGUUGUAGGGGUUUUAGUAUGUUUUCU